ACUGCCGCAGGGGGUGCAGGUUCACCUCCAGGAGGCCCCGGGCCUUUGCGCGCUUCAUGAUGGAGUGCGCGAACGGGCUUUCCAGCAGUUCCGGCAGUAC
rnacentral:tRNA from 1 species